GUAUCUUAUCACCAUGGGUGAGGCAAGAAGUCUUCAGGGGAGGGACCACCGUGUCAUGGGCUGUCCACCCCACAGGUUCCCGGGCCCCUGUGUACUUCUACGAGUUCCAGCAUCAGCCCAGCUGGCUCAAGAACAUCAGGCCACCGCACAUGAAAGCAGACCAUGUUAAAUUCACUGAGGAAGAGGAGCAGCUAAGCAGGAAGAUGAUGAAGUACUGGGCCAACUUUGCGCGAAAUGGGAACCCCAAUGGCGAGGGUCUGCCACACUGGCCGCUGUUCGACCAGGAGGAGCAAUACCUGCAGCUGAACCUACAGCCUGCGGUGGGCCGGGCUCUGAAGGCCCACAGGCUCCAGUUCUGGAAGAAGACGCU
rnacentral:sRNA from 1 species